GAUGAACGCUGGCGGCGUGCCUAAUACAUGCAAGUCGAGCGAAAAGACGAGGAGCUUGCUCCUCUGACGUUAGCGGCGGACGGGUGAGUAACACGUGGAUAAACUAACUCUAAGACUGGGGUGACUUCGGGAGACCGGAGCUACGACCGGAAAAUAUAUUGCACCGCAUGGUUCACUCGUUAAAGACGGUUUUUGUGUCACUUAUAGCUGGCUCCGCGCCGCAUUAGCUAGUUGUGAAGGUAAAGGCUUACCAAGGCAACGAUGCGUAGCCGACCCGAGAGGGUGAUCGGCCACACUGGAACUGAGACACGGCCCACACUCCUACGGUAGGCCGCAGUAGGGAAUCUUCCGCAAUGGGCGAAAGCCUGACGGAGCAACGCCGCGUGAGUGCUGAAGGUCUUCGGAUCGGAAAACUCUGUUAGUAUGGAAGAACAAAUGUGUAAGUAACUAUGCACGUCUUGACGGUACCUAAUCAGAAAGCCACGGCUAACUACGUG
rnacentral:rRNA from 1 species